AACGCUGGCGGCAGGCCUAACACAUGCAAGUCGAGCGGCAGCGGAAGGAAGCUUGCUUCCUUGCCGGCGAGCGGCGGACGGGUGAGUAAGGUAUGGGGAUCUGGCCGAAGGCGGGGGAUAACCACUGGAAACGGUGGCUAAUACCGCAUAAUCUCUAAGGAGCAAAGUGGGGGACCGUUCAGGCCUCACACCUUCGGAUGAACCCAUAUGAGAUUAGCUAGUAGGUGGGGUAAUGGCUCACCUAGGCGACGAUCUCUAGCUGGUCUGAGAGGAUGAUCAGCCACACUGGGACUGAGACACGGCCCAGACUCCUACGGGAGGCAGCAGUGGGGAAUAUUGCACAAUGGGCGCAAGCCUGAUGCAGCCAUGCCGCGUGUAUGAAGAAGGCCUUCGGGUUGUAAAGUACUUUCAGUCGUGAGGAAGGUGUUAAGGUUAAUAACCUUAGCAAUUGACGUUAGCGACAGAAGAAGCACCGGCUAACUCCGUGCCAGCAGCCGCGGUAAUACGGAGGGUGCGAGCGUUAAUCGGAAUUACUGGGCGUAAAGGGCACGCAGGCGGUUAGUCAAGUUGGAUGUGAAAUCCCCGGGCUUAACCUGGGAAUGGCAUUCAAGACUGGUUAGCUAGAGUCUUGUAGAGGGGGGUAGAAUUCCAUGUGUAGCGGUGAAAUGCGUAGAGAUGUGGAGGAAUACCGGUGGCGAAGGCGGCCCCCUGGACAAAGACUGACGCUCAUGUGCGAAAGCGUGGGGAGCAAACAGGAUUAGACACCCUGGUAGUCCACGCUGUAAACGAUGUCGAUUUGGAGGUUGUGGUCAUGAACUGUGGCCUCCGGAGCUAACGCGUUAAAUCGACCGCCUGGGGAGUACGGCCGCAAGGUUAAAACUCAAAUGAAUUGACGGGGGCCUGCACAAGCGGUGGAGCAUGUGGUUUAAUUCGAUGCAACGCGAAGAACCUUACCUACUCUUGACAUCCAGCGAAUCCUUUAGAGAUAGAGGAGUGCCUUCGGGAGCGCUGAGACAGGUGCUGCAUGGCUGUCGUCAGCUCGUGUUGUGAAAUGUUGGGUUAAGUCCCGCAACGAGCGCAACCCUUAUCCUUUGUUGCCAGCGAUUCGGUCGGGAACUCAAAGGAGACUGCCGGUGAUAAACCGGAGGAAGGUGGGGAUGACGUCAAGUCAUCAUGGCCCUUACGAGUAGGGCUACACACGUGCUACAAUGGCGUAUACAGAGAGAGGCGAGCCAGCGAUGGGAAGCGGAACUCAGAAAGUACGUCGAAGUCCGGAUUGGAGUCUGCAACUCGACUCCAUGAAGUCGGAAUCGCUAGUAAUCGCGGAUCAGCAUGUCGCGGUGAAUACGUUCCCGGGCCUUGUACACACCGCCCGUCACACCAUGGGAGUGGGUUGCAAAAGAAGUAGGUAGCUUAACCUUUUGGAUGGCGCUUACCACUUUGUGAUUCAUGACUGGGGUGAAGUCGUAACAAGGUAACCGUAGGGGAACCUGCGGUUGGAUCACCUCCUUA
rnacentral:rRNA from 1 species